AGAGUUUGAGUUCUGGCUCGGGAUGAACGCUGACAGAAUGCUUAACACAUGCAAGUCUACUUGAUCCUCGGGUGAAGGUGGCGGACGGGUGAGUAACGCGUAAGAACUUGCCUUACAGGACUGGGACAACAUUUGGAAACGAAUGCUAAUACCGGAUAUUAUGAUUGGGUCGCAUGACCUGGUUAAUGAAAGCUAUAUGCGCUGUGAGAGAGCUUUGCGUCCCAUUAGUUAGUUGGUGAGGUAACGGCUCACCAAGACGAUGAUGGGUAGCCGGCCUGAGAGGGUGAACGGCCACAAGGGGACUGAGACACGGCCCUUACUCCUACGGGAGGCAGCAGUGGGGAAUAUUGGACAAUGGACCAAAAGUCUGAUCCAGCCAAUUCUGUGUGCACGAUGAAGUUUUUCGGAAUGUAAAGUGCUUUCAGUUGGGAAGAAGUCAGUGACGGUACCAACAGAAGAAGCCGACGGCUAAAUACGUGCCAGCCGCGGC
rnacentral:rRNA from 1 species